UACAGAGGUCUCAAGCGUUGUUCGGAUUCAUUGGGCGUAAAGGGUGCGUAGGUGGCGCGGUAAGUCGGGUGUGAAAUUUCGGAGCUUAACUCCGAAACUGCAUUCGAUACUGCCGUGCUUGAGGACUGGAGAGGAGACUGGAAUUUACGGUGUAGCAGUGAAAUGCGUAGAGAUCGUAAGGAAGACCAGUGGCGAAGGCGGGUCUCUGGACAGUUCCUGACGCUGAGGCACGAAGGCCAGGGGAGCAAAUGGG
rnacentral:rRNA from 1 species